UCCCAACUGGUGACUCUUGUGUUCUUUAUUAUAGUUUAAAAAAACUUAAUCACAGCAAGGAAGGCUUGAGCAAGGACCCCUGCCCUGUAGAGUUAGCUUGGUGGUGGUGUAACCCAGGGGAGCCUCAGGGCUGCUCUAAGUUGGGAUGACCCAGCUCCUACAGGAGCACUACAGAGAAGCAUGUGGCCAGUUGGGGCAAACACAUCUCUUUUAUGGGUUAAACAGCCAAGAAGUGUGUUUGCCUCUGUUUAUCCCCAACCGCCCACCCCUAAAGACUCACUCCAGCUGCUUAAUUAGGCUGUUGGUGUGCUUGUGCAGCUGAGCUCUUAGAGGGGUCUCAGCAGCAAGAACAACGUUGGCCCUUAAUUGCUAAUUGAAAGUCCUGCCUAAAUGAGAGCAUAGGGGGUGGGUUAUUUCCAGUAUUUGAGUGCUUCCCCAAGCAGAACACCUGCAUUUGGAGAUGUCUGUUCAAGUUGUCCCCUUUCUUUACCUGAUUUCUGACCUCUGAGCCCUUGCUCUCAGUUUUGGAUCUCACAGACCUAUGCCAAGUAGCAGAGAAGAAGCACAGCCACGAGCUUCAAGCAGGGGCUCUAAAAGAGAAAGAUCUCAAGAAUAAAGUGAAGGAGCUGCAGUUCUGGGGCAUCUAGAGUGGGAUUUAGCCUGUGUCCCUGAUGUCCUAUCCCUAACCCCCUGUGGGUAUGGAAGGAAAAACUCAAUCUCAGUCAAACACCUGCAGCUUUGGAUCCUCAGUGUUGAGCAGCUGAUGUCAGACCUGGAUGGGCUGUUUGGCCUGAAGAGCCAAAACCAACCCUAGUGAUAUGCCUGCCAUGUACCUCUCCUGCUUCCCUCUACAACUUCUCAUGUAUCCUGUAUGUGUCAAUAAACAUCCUCUGUGUCUACUGUGGCCUCCCUGAGCCCCUCAGUCCCCUGUGUGACCAAGGGUUCUCCUCUGCUUCUGUGGCCUGUAACCGUCAGGUGGCCAAAAAAACCUCUGAGCAUUGCUGUUUCCCCACUGCCUGCCCUUUUAAAGUGUGGAACAGGCAGCAGUUUGGAUCUUUUGUUGCUGCUCAUUCACUGAGACUUUAUUAUUGGUGUUUGGUGGAGCUGAGAAAUCUCUCUGAUGCUUUUACAGACUGUGGCAGAGCUGGGCUACAACCAGUGGGUUCAGAAGUUAGCAGGUUAUGCUUAGACAAGCAGUAUGAUCACAGGCCCUCAUCUUUGGAAAUCAGCCCAAAAUAACAUGCUACACACCAGUGAUCACCUGUUAUUAAAGCAGUGCUUUGGCUGAGGUCUGAAUGUGAUCUGGGCUUCGGUCUGUUCUGUGCUGGUGCUCUUGGGUGGACAACACUGCCUGCGCAGUGCAGAGUGCAUAUUUCUUUUACAGAAGACUUUCUCUAACCCACCUAUUCUCCAAAAACUUGCCUUGGUGCUUUCAAAUGCCAUUUUAUACAUAGUGUUGAGUGAGGUGUUGCUGAGCAGCUCCUGCUCCCUUGUGGGGGGAGCCCCAGGGUGGCUGCAGCAGAGAGCUGGGGAUAAAGUGCAGGAAUUGCAUUGUAGUUGAUGCCAAAUUUAAUAGUUGUAUUAGAAAGAAAAAUAAUAAUUUGGAGAUCACCUUAUGGGGGACUUCGGUGGGUCCUUUGAGUGAGUCUCCUAGUGGGUUGCCAAGGAAGGGAUCCUGGAGAAGUGAGAGGACGAUGGAAGGUGUUGGGGAAUGGGAGAAGAUGGUGACUCAAUCGGAUAAAUGUUUGCUGGGCUCUGCAGAGCACUGGCAAUGAUUAACUGCUAAACAAAGCUGUGGCUGCUCUGUACAUGCAAGAAUGGGUGCCUGAAGUGAAAAUUUACAGUGCAGGAGGCUCCUCCAGAGACAGACUUCAGCUGCUGGGAAGAUGUGCUGAAAUAGCAGCUUAUGAUAAAAAAAGAGAGGUUACUAAGUUACUGCCUCUCAAUCUGCAGGACAAAUCAGUGCACAGGGAAUUUCUAAUGAAGUAAAAUGUAAGGAGGUGUCUCAUGGUGCUGGGAACAUGGGACACAGCACAGGCAAGGGACUGCAACUUGGAGAAACUUGUUCUGGUGAGAGGGAGCCAGGCCCUGGUGUGAAGGAGAAUCUGAUGAUGCAGCUGCCAGACAAAACUGCCAUUUUCCUUGGGGUGCAAAUGAGGCAGCACAACUGAAAUGAAGCCCUCACAUUGCUGGAGAUGGUAGAAGGGCUCAUCAGAGACACCCACAGCAGAGGAACUAACACAUCUGAUCAGUCACUUGAUGGGUGUGAUUACUGGUUUGCAUACCUUUGAUGGACUGUCAGCACCAUCAUGCAAAAUAGCCUCCAUUUAUUGUCUGAUUUCUUGGGUUUUAAUGGGUUUUCUCCAGCUGAAAGGCUGAGCUGAGGGACUCUAGGGAAAACAAUUACCUUCCUCACUCAGUAAGGAGGAAAAAACGGCUGGUUGGGCAGCAGGUGAAGGAGGGGGCCAUAGGGAAUAGCUGAGCGUGAUGAACACCCCUGGACAGCAUCUGGGAGUGAUGCAUUGGAGGGAUUAGGUACCUGCUUGCCUCUGGGGAUCUGGGGCACUUGUGGCUGCAGUGGCAGAGUUGUCUGGAGUUGCUGGUGGGGGAAGGAUGAAGAAGCAAAUCCCUCCUGCCCACCCUCAGCAGGGGCUGGGAGAAGCAAAGUGGCAGCGGAGAGCGGAAAGCCUUCUGUAGAACCUUAGCACUGUUCAAUGUGCAGGCAGCAACACGAGGGAUGCUUGCUCUGAACAGAAAGCUUGGUUUGGGUUAGAUGGUGUCUGUUAAGCCUGAUGUGAGGUGGAAGGUGACUGCACGGGUCAGAGCUAUACAUAUUUUCUCCCUGUGGAAAUCAAGGGUGAUCACUGGUCCCUGGGAAAGGGGCAGGCACAGGGUUUGCUUGUAGAGAGUGUUGAGACAUGUUAGUUGUUAGCUUAAGUAAGUUUUAAAUAGAAGAAGUCACUUCUAGAGUUAUAAUAUUGUGUAGAUUAGUAUGCUGUUUGCUUAGCUUUACCUUCUUAGUAUGAGUAGCUAGAUUUGCUGCAGCCUUAGCCUGCAACCUGUGCACUUUCAUAUAGAUACACUUUUGGUUGGAAUAGAGUUAGUUAAUUUUCUUAGGAUUGUUUCCUAGUACAGUGCUGUUUUGUCUUUAGUAUGAGAAGAACACUGGUAAUACACUGAUGUUUUAGUUGCUGUGGGGUAAUGUUUAUUUGAGGUCUGGGAUUUCAGUGUCCCAUGCUCUGCUGGCAAGCCGGUACACCAUAUGCGCAAACCAGGAGAUAAAGAGGCCACAACGAUCAGCAGCAGCUGCAACUCAACAAGAAAAGAACGGUUCAUGGCUUACCUUCAUGGAGACAGAGAAAGAACCCAGCAAGCUAUGGAAUUCUCUCUUCCAACUGGACUGGGAAGCAAGGUGUCUCAGCAGUGCUUGCCCACACCACUGCCCCCAGUCAUAUCCUGGGUGUCACAUUUGUUGAGACAUCAGUCAUCAGUACCAAGCCAUGGAUUCCCACUGCCUGCAGCUGUUGAUGAACCGCAGGGUUAUUUCAUCCCAUUCCUCAGGAAGCAGCAUGAGCAGAAACCCAAUGCAAAUGAUGAUGGUGGCUCCCAAUCUCACUACACUGAAGAUCAUUUUGUGCUUUAACAGAUCCACAGCUGUGAAAAAGAAAUGACAAUGCUGUCAAGACUGCAGCAGGUUGAACUACAGCAUCAGACCAGCCUGGCACAUGUCCAUAACCUGUGUGUUGCACUCUGGCCAUGUUCCUCUCAAUCCCCUACAGUGACCAGCUCCUUGAGUUAAGAACAGCUUUGACCUGGCCACGUAGUACUGGAAGUGCCACGUCUCCUCUGUGCCUAACCACUUUCAUGUAGGCUCCAAGGAAGCUUUAUAGAGCUGGUCUAAACCUCGAGGUUUUAAUUUUUGCUCUGAGAGGGAAGCUACUUUAUGUUAACCCUCUAUCUACAGCAGGUUACCUGAGUGUAAUGUUUCCUUGGGCUGGACAGACCAGGGAUGGGGAGAGAGCAUUAUGCAGGUCAGAAAGCUGGAGUCGAUGCCUCUGUGCCCAGCCUCCCAGCUCCACAACCAGCAACAAUAGUGCAGCUGAGCCCUUCAGCAGCCUUUUUCCGGUACUGACUGUUUAAUAGCUCUGACCUGUAUUCCUAUAAAAAUAGAUGUUUCUUUGAAAACAUCCUCAAAUACCUGGAGUAGCGAGGCUAAGAAGGUGAAGGAGGAGACAGAGGCUAUUCAAUAAGAUAUGACUCUGAAGUAAACUUCCACAUAUACAUACUGCCUUGCUGCUCCACGGCAAGUCACCAGCACAGUGCUGAGCUGCUGCAGCAGCACACUGGCCCCACCAUUUCUCAGCAGCAGCCAGCAGCUUUGGGCUAUUGGCUGGGGAUCAGCCUGCUCUCUCCCCUGCACGGUAUGGAUGUACCCUGUCACUCCCAGAGAAAGAGGCAAGACAAAACCCAAAUGCUUUUGCCAUCUGAAACACCCACCAUCACCAGGAGUAUCUGUAGAAGCCAUAGGAGACCAAACUGCUUUUGAAACUUGUGACAACAGACUCUGACUAUGUAGACAAUAAACUUCUGCUAUCUGCA